rnacentral:rRNA from 1 species
UGGGGAAUAUUGCACAAUGGGCGCAAGCCUGAUGCAGCCAUGCCGCGUGUAUGAAGAAGGCCUUCGGGUUGUAAAGUACUUUCAGCGGGGAGGAAGGGAGUAAAGUUAAUACCUUUACUCAUUGACGUUACCCGCAGAAGAAGCACCGGCUAACUCCGUGCCAGCAGCCGCGGUAAUACGGAGGGUGCAAGCGUUAAUCGGAAUUACUGGGCGUAAAGCGCACGCAGGCGGUUUGUUAAGUCAGAUGUGAAAUCCCCGGGCUCAACCUGGGAACUGCAUCUGAUACUGGCAAGCUUGAGUCUCGUGGAGGGGGGUAGAAUUCCAGGUGUAGCGGUGAAAUGCGUAGAGAUCUGGAGGAAUACCGGUGGCGAAGGCGGCCCCCUGGACGAAGACUGACGCUCAGGUGCGAAAGCGUGGGGAGCAAACAGG